rnacentral:rRNA from 1 species
GAUGAACGCUGGCGGCGUGCCUAAUACAUGCAAGUCGAGCGAACAGACGAGGAGCUUGCUCCUCUGACGUUAGCGGCGGGCGGGUGAGUAACACGUGGAUAACCUACCUAUAAGACUGGGAUAACUUCGGGAAACCGGAGCUAAUACCGGAUAAUAUAUUGAACCGCAUGGUUCAAUAGUGAAAUACGGUUUUGCUGUCACUUAUAGAUGGAUCCGCGCCGCAUUAGCUAGUUGGUAAGGUAACGGCUUACCAAGGCAACGAUGCGUAGCCGACCUGAGAGGGUGAGCGGCCACACUGGAACUGAGACACGGUCCAGACUCCUACGGGAGGCAGCAGUAGGGAAUCUUCCGCAAUGGGCGAAAGCCUGACGGAGCAACGCCGCGUGAGUGAUGAAGGUCUUCGGAUCGUAAAACUCUGUUAUUAGGGAAGAACAAAUGUGUAAGUAACUAUGCACGUCUUGACGGUACCUAAUCAGAAAGCCACGGCUAACUACGUG